GUACCACUUCUCACAUGUUUCACCGCCACCCUCUCAGAAACUUUCUCAAAGUCUCUCACUUCUCAAAAUUUUUUCCCCUGCUCUUCGUUUGCCCCACCAGAACAUAUUAGAAAAAAGGCAGAUGACUCCUUUGUCUCACUCAUUCCUUCUCACUUCUUUGUUAAUGGCCGAUUCCUCUCAAGCUUUCUCUUCAAAUAACAGUAAAGGGGAAACAAAGAUGAAGGGGAAAGAUGUUUGAUUCAUCUCAGUCAUCUGAAUCAUUUUUUUCCCCAAAUGUAAUCAUGGAGCAAGAACCAUCGUCCCUCUACUAAGAUGUGGAAAAAUCUGAUAUAGUGUUGUAGUUGCAUGUUUGAAGAUUUUGUCAUGGAUUACUAACAUUCCUCAGUGGGUGAAUGGUGAAAAUUUGAGCCAGAGGUGAUGGUAAUUUUACUAGAAGCUUUAAGAUUUUAAAUGAUUAACUCGUAAAUGCUUCAAAUUGAAUAGCAAGAGGUAUAUCUACACUUCCUUCAGGGUUUGCCUCAAUGUACUUGAUUAUACAGAUAUACUAUGGGAAAUUCUAUGUAAAAAACUCCACAAUUAAAUAAAAUUUUUCUUAACUUUCACCCUUUUGUUUGCCUAGACAAAACAUGAAGGAACUUCAUUAUGCAGUUUAUUUUUGAUAUUUUCUUAACUUCAACAGGCUGAUAUUUUUUCCUGCCUGUAAGCUGACAUGUAAUUGAUCUUUUGGAGGUGAUGAUCUGAUGAAAAUAGAGGGAUAUUUGCUUGUGAAUUAGCAAUCAAUAGCUGCUUCGAGUUCGUCUGUUUCUGAAACCAAUCAUAACUACUUGUCCAUCUCCUUGGUAUUUAUGCUAUCGGAAUUUUUUAUCUUUCAGGAUUUUGAUUGCGUGUAUCGUAUUAAAAAUGUGGAGUUUCAUUCUAAUCACCACAUUGAAAUAUGUAACCUACUUCAGGAUACAUGUCAUUUGGGUCGAUUUAGGUAGUGAUGAACUACCAUAUAUUGGUUUUGAUGUCGUUUGGGUAGAUUUUGCUACGUCACUUCCCCUGCUGUCCUGGGAUUUGAAUUUGUUGCCUCCACUGGAGCAUUAUGGCUUUCAACCUACUUUUACAGCAAAAAGGAAAUUGUGUAUUCAAAAAUAGAAUUGACUUUAUUCAACCUACCUUUUUGAAUUGUGUAUUCAAAAAUAGAAAGAAGGGGCAAAGUUUGAGAAAUUGACUAGGAAUUGACUUUAUUAGUGAAAAAAAUUUGAGUUUCAGUUAAGGUGAUUCUUAGUAUGUUCUUCCCAGCAACUGCAAAACUUUUUCUGCCAGCAAUGUGCUAACCCAGUGGUCCACCUUUUGGUUUUUUGCAAGGGGGCAAGGACGUUUUUGCUUGCAUGAUGCUAGAUAAUAAUCCCAUUUACCAAGCUUUUAUUGUCUCCAAACGAGGCUAGAAUCAUUGGAGUUCAUAGUAAGCUUUCCUAAUACAACCUGAGAACCUAAAUUGUAUCCUACCCUGUUUCUUUAGCAAAUGCUCUCUCUACCUCUCUCUACAUCAGAGACACACACUACACCCUGUUUUUUUUAUUUCCUUCUAUAGUUUCCUUUUUUCUGUUUUUAAAUAGACUAAUAGGUCAUCUACAUGUUUUUUGAACACCAUCAAAUGUUCAAACAUGUUAGAGAUGCUACCUCGAUUUUGUUGACUUGAUAUAUGAUGAAUCAAGAAGCCAAUUAUAUUUUAAGAGAUGCCAUACACCUACUUAGAUCAGAAGUUGUAGUGGUUUGACUGAAAAAUGUUGUUCACAUUUUGGUUGUUGAUUAUUAUAGAAAUUGGCUACUGUCACGUUGGCUAAGGUCCUAAGGAUAACUUGAGACGCGGUGAAGAGGAGGAUGAUGAUGAUGUUGCUAUUCAAGAAAAGGCAAGGCAGCCAGAUAAUUGGAAAAAUAAAAAAUGAUAACCUACAUCGUGUUGGCAGUCAGAAGCUCAAUUGUUAUAGAGAUUAUUUUCAUGUGGAUAGUAAUUCUUGUAAUGUUAGUCUUGUAUUUUAAAGAUAAAUAGAUAAGUUUUAACUUCAGUAGCAGUGAAAGUCUAAUUAUCCA